rnacentral:rRNA from 1 species
CUUCCGUAGGUGAACCUGCGGAGGGAUSRUKGCYKGMAYGMGCSCCAGGCGCACCCAGAAACCCUUUGUGAACUUAUACCUUACUGUUGCCUCGGCGCAUGCCGGCCCCCCUGGGGGCCCCUCCUCCUGGAGGAGCAGGCACGCCGGCGGCCAACCUAACUCUUGUUUUUACACUGAAACUCUGAGAAUAAAACAUAAAUGAAUCAAAACUUUCAACAACGGAUCUCUUGGUUCUGGCAUCGAUGAAGAACGCAGCGAAAUGCGAUAAGUAAUGUGAAUUGCAGAAUUCAGUGAAUCAUCGAAUCUUUGAACGCACAUUGCGCCCUCUGGUAUUCCGGAGGGCAUGCCUGUUCGAGCGUCAUUUCAACCCUCAAGCCUGGCUUGGUGAUGGGGCACUGCCUGUAAAAGGGCAGGCCCUGAAAUUCAGUGGCGAGCUCGCCAGGACCCCGAGCGCAGUAGUUAAACCCUCGCUCUGGAAGGCCCUGGCGGUGCCCUGCCGUUAAACCCCCAACUUCUGAAAAUUUGACCUCGGAUCAGGUAAGGAAUACCCGCUGAACUUAAGCAUAUCAAUAAGCGGAGGAA